GAUGAACGCUGACAGAAUGCUUAACACAUGCAAGUCAACUUGAAUUUGGGUUUUUAACUUAGGUUUGGGUGGCGGACGGGUGAGUAACGCGUAAAGAACUUGCCUCACAGCUAGGGACAACAUUUGGAAACGAAUGCUAAUACCUAAUAUUAUGAUAAUAGGGCAUCCUAUAAUUAUGAAAGCUAUAAGCGCUGUGAGAGAGCUUUGCGUCCCAUUAGCUAGUUGGAGAGGUAACGGCUCACCAAGGCGAUGAUGGGUAGCCGGCCUGAGAGGGUGAUCGGCCACAAGGGGACUGGGACACGGCCCUUACUCCUACGGGAGGCAGCAGUGGGGAAUAUUGGACAAUGGACCGAGAGUCUGAUCCAGCAAUUCUGUGUGCACGAUGAAGUUUUUCGGAAUGUAAAGUGCUUUCAGUUGGGAAGAAACAAAUGACGGUACCAACAGAAGAAGUGACGGCUAAAUACGUG
rnacentral:rRNA from 1 species